AAUACAUUCAAAUGUACACUUGCUGUUUUUGUAGUUUAACAGUGCAAAGUCUGAGGAAAUAUGUUUUGCACUGCAGACUGCAACGCAACAAACCUUGCGCCAUUUUCAAAUGUGUCGGUAGUGAUUGCAAACAGUCGUUUUUUAAAUACGUGACAUUUUAAGAGCCAUUUUUAGCGGUGCCAUAACAGCUCUACUGCUGCUGUGACUGCACAUGCAGUGGUUGAUACGGAUUUGAUUUGUAGUGUUUCACUAUUUAGUUACCAGUGCCAGAUGUGGCUAGUCUUGUUGCUCACUUAAAGAACCAUAUUAAGGAAGGUCGUGUAGUUUACUGUCCAGUAAGAGGGUGCAAAAGUGUUUUUCACAUCAUGUCCUCUUUUACUUCUCAUAUGUCUAGGAAGCACAGGAACUGUUCAGUUAACAGCAUUACUGAUUCACAUUGGCCUUCUGCAUCAGAGAUACUGUCAGUUACAUCAGAGCAAUGUCCUGCUGACCUGGAUUCAAAUACAGCUUCUACAAUACAAAAUACUGUAGAUGAGGUGCAAAAUCGGAGCAAAGCUGUGUAACCACUGCAAUUGCUGAGAUUCUCAAAGAUAUUUCAUCUUUGGUGCAACAGUCAGUGGUGGAGACACUGAACUCACUUGGAGUAUCUUCACCUGAAGAUUUUGGAUAUGUUCAGGAAGCAGAUCUCUUCAGGCACGAAAACUUGUGUCUGCCUGAAACCAGAUCAAAGGACAACCUUGCUAAGAUAGCUUGCUAAGUUCUAGAGACAGCUGCAGUGGCACACGGUCUUCUUCAUGCUCAUCAUCACCAUCCCCAACAUUUGGCAAGGCUUCCACGGUUGCUUCUGACUGGGCUGACAAUUUUAAAAUACCAUGGGAGAAGUUGCCAGAAGCAUUGAUGCAAUGUUUAAAAAGGCAGAAUAGACCAACCCCAAGAUUGCGACGAGAUAUGGUGAAAAUUGUCGUGUCCGAAAUGAUGAAGAAAUGCGAGUCUCCAAGUAAGCAAAACUCUACAGCCAUUGCCAAAAAGAUGGUGGGCCAAAUACCCUGCAUCCUUGCAGGAUGUUAUUGAUGGUGUUAUAGUUGGAUAUCACUCACUACUUAAGCAGAUCCAGAAUCGUGUAGAAAAUGUGAAAAGGACCAAUGUUCCAAAAAUCCUGAAAACGCAGCAGAACAGAAGACUCUGACACAGAGGAGAUUCCUGCUGAAAGAAAGGCAGCGGUUCAAGACACUUAUGGCUGUGUAAAUUGGAAUGUAAAAUUUAUGCCAUUGAAUGAGACCAAAGAAAGCCAGCUGGCAAAACAAGAAAUGAUGAAGAUGAAGUCUAAAGCAACAAAUUUUCAUUUGGAAGAAGUUAGCAACCUCCUGAAAGCAAUAUACUACACACAACACAAAGACAUAAACAAUGGAGCAAGCAUACACCAGCUUUGUGAGAACUGGCCAUUUCUAUUUCAAGAGGUUGGUAUGUGUACACACUUCAAGCAGCUAACUGGAAUUAAUCUGAAGGAGAUGUUUCUUAAAAGCUUGGAUAAAAAAGGACAGUGGCUCCUGAACUUUUUUAAAACUGCUGCAAACUGCUGCAAAACUAGAUGUUUUGAGGUGUCAACCUGAAGGAUGCAGUGAGGAUUUAAAAGAUGUGCUUCUUCUGCUUGCCUACUCUGACAAAAAGAAAGAAGUUAUGUUUUAUUAUGUGGAAGAGUCUUGCCUUGUGGAAGAUGUGGAUGUAGACAACUUACCAGCAACAUCCUGCAUCAUUGUCUGUGGCAUCUCAUGCUACACAUCAAAGCUUUUCAUGUUGAGCAUCGACCAAAAGAUUUCAACUCCGCACAUUUCUACAUUCGUCGCAGCAAUUUGCAUGAUGUUUAGCAGUUACUACUGUUUAAACAUUCAUUACCCUUUGGAACUUGGUUCUUCUCUGGAAUUCAUACAAAGGUGCUUCUUCAGCAUAAAUCCAGAGAAGGGAACCAAAGUUGAGUCAAG